rnacentral:rRNA from 1 species
CAGCCGCCACGGGAAUACGUAGGGUGCAAGCGUUAAUCGGAAUUACUGGGCGUAAAGCGUGCGCAGGCGGUUAUAUAAGACAGAUGUGAAAUCCCCGGGCUCAACCUGGGAACUGCAUUUGUGACUGUAUAGCUAGAGUACGGCAGAGGGGGAUGGAAUUCCGCGUGUAGCAGUGAAAUGCGUAGAUAUGCGGAGGAACACCGAUGGCGAAGGCAAUCCCCUGGGCCUGUACUGACGCUCAUGCACGAAAGCGUGGGGAGCAAACAGGAUUAGAGACCCCUGUAGUCCCUGUCUCUUAUAA